UACGUAGGGGGCUAGCGUUGUCCGGAAUCAUUGGGCGUAAAGAGCGUGUAGGCGGCCCGGUAAGUCCGCUGUGAAAGUCGGGGGCUCAACCCUCGAAUGCCGGUGGAUACUGUCGGGCUAGAGUGCGGAAGAGGCGAGUGGAAUUCCUGGUGUAGCGGUGAAAUGCGCAGAUAUCAGGAGGAACACCGAUUGCGAAGGCAGCUCGCUGGGACGGAACUGACGCUGAGGUGCGAAAGCGUGGGGAGCAAACAGG
rnacentral:rRNA from 1 species